GUAAAAAGAAAUUGUGGGGGGUCAAUUUUUUCUCAUUUCAGAUUUCAGAAAUUAAAAAGAUUUAUUCUUCAAAUAUUAUUUUUUUUUCAAAUUUCAAAUAUUGAAAAAUUUCAAGAAGUAAUCUUUAAUUGCACAGUAUGGCGCAUUAGAUUUGUAAAAUCUUUGACCACAUUUAUUUAUUUGUUAUGCCAAAUCUGACCGUGUAUUUAUAUUUUUAAUUUUGUGUCCAGUUUUCAAAUUGGUCUACAUUAAGGUCCAAAGGGUCCAAAAUUAAACUUAGUUUGAUUUUAACAAAAAUUGAAUAUAUGGGGUUCUUUGAUAUGCUGAAUCUAAACAUGUAUUUAGAUUUUUGAUUUCGGGCCCAGUUUUCAAGUUGGUCCAAAUAUGGGUCCAAAAUUAAAGUUUGUUUGAUUUCAACAAAAAUUGAAUAUAUGGGGUUCUUUGAUAUGCUGAAUCUAACCAUGUAUUUAGAUUUUUUAUUUUGCUAUCAAAUUGGUUCAUAGUGAGGUCAAAAGGGUCCGAAAUUAAACUUUGUUUUAUUUCAUCAAAAAUUGAAUUAUUGGGGUUCUUUGAUAUGCCAAAUCUAACCGUGUAUUUAAAUUUUUAAUUUUGGGUCCCGUUUUUAUACGACCGCAAAAAAAUUUUGUGGUCGUAUAUUGGUAUGACGUUGGCGUCGUCGUCGUCGUCGUCGUCCGGCGUCGUCGUCGUCGUCGUCGUCGUCCGGCGUCGUCGUCCGAAUACAUUUUGGUUUUCGCACUCUAACUUUAGUUUAAGUGAAUGGAUCUUUUUGAAAUUUGACCAUAAGGUUAAAUACCACAAAAGGAAGGUUGGGAUUGAUUUUGGGGGUUAUGGUACCAACAGUUAAGGAAUUAGGGGCCAAAAAGGGGCCAAAAAUGAGCAUUUUCUAAUUUCCAGACAAUAACUGUGGAACGGUGUAUGGAUCUCUCUGAAAUUAUACUACAAGUUUCCAUACCACAAAGGGAUGGUUAGGAUUUGCUUUGGGGGGUUAUUGCUCAAACCGUUUAGGAAUUAGGGGCAAAAAAGGGGGAAAAACAAGGUUGUCCUGGUUAAUGGACAAAUACUUUAGUACAAAACAUAAUUUAAAGCAGUGUAAGGGAGAUAAAUCAAAUACAUCAUUGAAAUUAUCUCCCUUACACUGCUUUUAAAUUAUGUAUAAAGUAAUGGUUAAUGAACAAUAAAGAUAAUCUAAAACAGUGUAAGGGAGGUAAUCCAAAUACAACGUUUUGGUUACUUCCCUUACACUGCUUUUAAAUUAUGUUUAAAGAAAUGCAUAUUUAUAAAGGAAGACCAGUAAAAAUAUCUGCAAAUGUUUUCAUCUUUUUUUUUUACAAAAAAAUCCAUAUGAAAGAUUAGACACUAUAUUUUUAUUAAUUCUAUUAUAAAAUAGAUUAAGUUAGCACUAUGGUAAAUUUAAAUGGGUAAUUAUGGUUGCCAACUCCAUUGGAAAUUUGAAUUGAGAUUAUGACCAUAUCUUGAGGGAAAGAUUUUUUUUGGGGGAAAAAGGGGGGGGGGGAUAAAAAGAAAUUGUGGGGGGCCAUUUUUUUCUCAUUUCAGAUUUCAGAAAUUAAAAAGAAUUAUUCUUCAAAUAUUAUUUUUUUUUCAAAUUUCAAAUAUUGAAAAAUUUCAAGAAGUAAUCUUUAAUUGCACAGUAUGGCGCAUUAGAUUUGUAAAAUCUUUGAUCACAUUUAUUUAUUUGUUAUGCCGAAUCUAACAGUGUAUUUAGAUUUUUAAUUUUGGGUCCAGUUUUCAAAUUGGUCUACAUUAAUGUCCAAAGGGUCCAAAAUUAAACUUUGUUUGAUUUUAGCAAAAAUUGAAUAUAUGAGGUUCUUUGAUAUGCUGAAUCUAAACAUGUAUUUAGAUUUUUGAUUUUUGGCCCAGUUUUCAAGUUGGUCCAAAUUGGGGUCCAAAAUUAAACUUUGUUUGAUUUCAACAAAAAUUGAAUAUAUGGGGUUCUUUGAUAUGCUGAAUCUAACCAUGUAUUUAGAUUUUUUAUUUGUGGACCCCGUUAUCUAAUUGGUUCAUAUUGAGGUCAAAAGGGUCCAAAAUUAAACUUUGUUUGAUUUCAUCUAAAAUUGAAUUAUUGGGGUUCUUUGAUAUUCCAAAUCUAACCGUGUAUUUAGGUUUUUAAUUUUGGGUCCUGUUUUUUAAAUUGGUCUACAUUGAGGUCCAAAGGGUCCAAAAUUAAACUUAGUUUGAUUUUGACAAAAAUUGAAUUCUUGGGGUUCUUUGAUUUGCUGAAUCUAAACAUGUGUUUAGAUUUUUGAUUAUGGGCCCAGUUUUCAAGUUGGUCCAAGAUAGGGUCCAGUAUUUAAACUUUGUUUGAUUUCAACAAAAAUUGAAUAUAUGGGGUUCUUUGAUAUGCUGAAUCUAAACAUGUAUUUAGAUUUUUGAUUAGGGCCCAGUUUUCAAGUUGGUCCAAAUUGGGGUCCAAAAUUAAACUUUGUUUGAUUUCAACAAAAAUUGAAUAUAUGAGGGUCUUUGAUAUGCUGAAUCUAACCAUGUAUUUAGAUUUUUUAUUUGUAGGCCCCGCUAUCAAAUUGGUUCAUAUUGAGGUCAAAAGGGUCCAAAAUUAAACUUUGUUUGAUUUCAUCGAAAAUUGAAUUAUUGGGGUUCUUUGAUAUGCCAAAUCUAACCGUGUUUUUAGAUUUUUAAUUUGGGUCCCGUUUUUUAAAUUGGUCUUCAUUGAGGUCCAAAGGGUCCAAAACUAAACUUAGUUUGAUUUUAACAAAAAUUGAAUAUAUGGGGUUCUUUGAUAUGCUGAAUCUAAACAUGUAUUUAGAUUUUUGAUUUUGGGCCCAGUUUUCAAGUUGGUCCAAAUUGGGGUCCAAAAUUAAACUUUGUUUGAUUUCAACAAAAAUUAAAUAUAUGGGGUUCUUUGAUAUGCUGAAUCUAACCAUGUAUUUAAAUUUUUUAUUUGUGGGCUCCGCUAUCAAAUUGGUUCAUAUUGAGGUCAAAAGGGUCCAAAAUUAAAAUUUGUUUUAUUUCAUCAAAAAUUGAAUUAUUGGGGUUCUUUGAUAUGCCAAAUCUAACCGUGUAUUUAGAUUUUUAGUUUUGGGUCCCGUUUUUUAAAUUGGUCUACAUUAAGGUCCAAAGGGUCCAAAAUUAAACUUAGUUUGAUUUUAACAAAAAAAUGAAUUCUUGGGGUUCUUUGAUAUGCUGAAUCUAAACAUGUGUUUAGAUUUUUGAUUUUGGGUCCAGUUUUCAAGUUGGUCCAAGUUGGGCUCCAAAAUUAAACUUUUUUUGUUUGAUUUCAACAAAAAUUGAAUAUAUGGGGUUCUUUGAUAUGCUGAAUCUAACCAUGUAUUUUGAUUUUAGGGCCCCGUUAUCAAAUUGGUCCACAUUGAGGUCAAAAGGGUCCAAAAUUAAACUUUGUUUGAUUUCAUCAAAAAUUGAAUUCUUUGGAUUCUUUGAUAUGCUGAAUCUAACCAUGUAUUUAGAUUUUGGAUAUUGGACCAUAAUAGGUAAAUAAAAAAAUUUUAAGUUCUUAGACCACAUUCAGUCUGUGUCAGAAACCUAUGCUGUGUCAAAUAUUUAAUCACAAUCCAAAUUCAGAGCUGUAUCAAGCUUGAAUGUUGUGUCCAUACUUGCCCCAAAUGUUCAGGGUUCGACCUCUGCGGUCGUAUCAAGCUGCGCCCAGUGGAGCAUUUUAUUCUUUUUGUCUUUUAGAAGGUUCUGAAUAUAUUCUGCUUCAUAUGAGUACAAAACCAAGUCGGCCAGAAGGGGUGCACAAUUAGUACCCAUUGGAAUACCGACUGUCUGUUGAAAUAGCAAUCCUCCAAACUCAACAAAUAUAUUUAAUUAUAUACGAUUAAAAAUUCCAUCAUUUUGAUAA